AAGCCGUUUUAUCAUUUAACCAAUGAAUUCUUGAUAUCCAAAAUUCGAAUUUUGGAUAUCAAGAAUUGCAUUUUGGAUAUCAACAAUUCGAAUUUUGGAUAUCAACAAUUCAAUUCUGGAUAUCAACAAUUCGAAUUCUUGAUAUCCAGAAUUGAAUUCUGGAUAUCAACAAUGUAUGCUAAUGACUAUCAUGUGGGCGGGAGUAGGCAGGCUACGUAAAUUCUGUUUGCAAAGGCGUAACAUUUUCUACGCUAAGAGCGUUGCCCACUGCGGCCAUUGUAGACUUUGCAAUCCGUUGGCGUUCGGUUUAGUUCAACAAUGAUUUUGAAAAUUGAUUAAAUUGGAUGUUUUGAGACCCCAAAAAACGUAAUCAUUGUCCUAAUUUUUAUGAAUGUAUUGUACGUGUAACAUAUUUAUCUGGGUUCAGAUUAAAUUCCACUAAAUUGGGAGAACUUCGCCAUCUACUGUUCAAAUGUGUACCUGCUCCGAGUAGCUAUAGCGUGGCAUUGUGGGGAAUUUCCAAGAAAGACAUCUCACAUAGGUCACAUACGCACGAAAAUGUAUGAGACU